UACGCAGUUUCUGCCAUUUUUCUUUUCCUUUUUUUCAACCUGUUCUUCUUGGUAAUGGUUUUUUCGGUAAUGUGUCUGCCACCGGUUUUAUUUAUGCUAUGUGUUCUUCGCCUCCACCAUCGUCGGUUUUGUUUUUGCUGCGUGUCCUUCGCCUCCACCAUCAUCCAAUAGAUAUACACCGUCAUUUAGUUUCCUCCUAAAAUAAUUCAACCCCUAGGUCUUAUCAGAAAUAUGCAUCUUCUCACUGUCUGUAUCUGGUACGUCUCCUCCCAAAAUUGAUAAUGGUGUCGCUGUCGACGGUUCUUCCACUUUCUUCAGGUCGAUUUCUUCUGUGUUUCGUUUGGGUUUAGGGCUUCGAAUCGAUUGCUUCAAUGUCGACCGUCAACUUCCAUAUCCAACACUAUUGGCGAAUCUGUAUACCAAUAGCGCUCCGUUAUAGUUGGAGGAGGUGAUGAUGAAGUUGAAUCUUAUGAUAUAAUGCCGAUUGGACCUUCGAUACUGAUGACCCAUACCUCAUGUUCUAUUGAUGUUGCUCAGAGACACCUUUCUUGCUCUUCUUCUUAGUCUGUCUGGGUGGAGCUGAGGGCUGAAUUUUGUUUUUCGUCCUUCUGCUUUUGUCGGCUUCUCAUUGGAUACGUCAUCGGUUUAUGUAGCUACACGUAGAUCAGAAGCUUCCAUUAUUCUGCUACCACUGUUCAAAUUCUAUUAUUCUGUCUCCAUUUCCAGAUGCUUGAAGGUGUUAUCAUCUACAAAUCACACUUAAUUAAUUGUGUGUGUAACUAUGGUUUUGUGCAACUGGAAUAUAGGUAAAAGUUGGAAAUUAUUUAACUUAAUUUCAUCAGAAGUAAAAAGGAGUAUGGGAAUUAGCCUACAAUGUAUUGAAAAAAUCAUUCAAAUGACAUAGCAAUAGAUUUCAAAACAAGAAGAGUAUUUCAUUGCUCAAGAUUAUGGUGGUGGUGAUCUCUCUGUUUCAGGCAAUAAUGUAAUUUUCUCAAAUUACAGAAGACUCUACAGGCAAUCUAUUGUUCUCCUUCUCCACCAAUAACACUUAUCCCUUAUUAUGGCGAACCUUUAGUCUUCUAUGCAGAUGGAGUUUUUGACAAAAGGUUUAAUCAUUAUGUCACCAUUAAACAAGAUACAUCGUUAAUGCCAUGUAAUUUUAUCCAUCAUUAGUCAUCUUUAUGAAUUCUGGCUUCAUAGCAUAUCGAAGAGAAAGUAGCAAAAAAUUUGUAGCAACUAUUGUAUCACUUGAACUCAAUGAUGAAACUACUCAAGGUAUAGUUGAUGUAUGCUUUUUCAGUUUAUAAACUCAUUUAGACAUUAACAAUGGUUUCCAUCAUGUGACAUGCAGAUCCAAUAGUAUUAGUAGGAGGAAAUGAUUUUUAUGCUUAAGGGGUAUUUUCAGCAAUUUUUGAUAAUAAUAGGCUGCUAUCGUCUUGAUGGAAAGUUGGUGGUUAAAUUCUGAUUAUUUUUAUCUGGGUGACUUCAGAAUUUGUUUUUUUUAGUAUUUUGGCCAGAAAAAUUCGUUUAUGUGUUCUUGAUUAAAGGGUAUUUUGGGAAUUUUGUUUUUAUCUUUUCUAUUGGUUUUACUUGGUGUUGUUGGGAUUCAAUUUGAUGUUGCAUAUGAACUGAAUAUUGGAUUGAAUUCAAGAUUGGUAUCUCAAUCAACCAAAAUCGUUAUCAAAGACACCAGGGGCAUUUCGGUUGAAAUAACUUUUUUUUUUUUAGUUUUUGGAUCCCAUUACCAGUUAAUCAACCAACCAACCAACUGAACAAAAAAUGCCACACCUGACCCCGCAACGCAGGGUCACUCACCUAGUUAAUAUUAAAUAUGAAAGGGAAUAAGAUAAGUGAUAAUUUU